GGAGUUUCCCCACUAUUUUCUGACGCUUUACGGUAUUGCGUCGACAGAUACCAUAUCUUUCGACGUUGAGAGAUCCAAAAUUUCUUCUAGUGUAUCUCAGUUUCUUACCUAUCUCUUUUUGCAUGUUAAUUUCUGUUCUGGAGGAUAAAUUAAAUGGCUUAGAAGCAAAAAAGUUCAUUCUAAUGAACGGUAUGAUCCUAGAAUGGUUCGGCGAUCAAACUACUAUGACAACUUCAAUAAUAAGGGUUAGCCUUCAACACUAUCCACAAAAGACAUCAAUUUUGGCUGCCUGUGUUAUUUUCAAAGUUGAUGGAAGUGAAGGCUUCUAUGAAAAAUAUGAUGUUUUCAUUGAUGGUGAAUCACUAAAAUAUUUCGAGAUCACCGUUUGGCCUUCAUCGAAAUAAAAAUAUGUGGUUAAUAACGACCCCUCUAAUUUUAGCUCCGUGAGCAUGAGUUGUGAAGUCUCUUGGCGUCCAUAUCGACGUUAGAGGGCAGCAAAGGCAAUUGGAAUUCGAGCAUCACACACAUUCCAGUGGCUUCAAAGGAGAGUAAAGGUCAGAUCUAGUGUGAUCCUGAGACAUCGUCACAAAUCUCCCUCGAACGCACACUCUACAACAACUUGUUCCAGCAUCGAAAAUUGCAACACCAUAAGUUGCAUUGCAAAGCUCUUUGACAGCCAUUAUAAAUAGUUUGCCUUCAUAUUUGGGUAAGAGAGGAGAGUUAUGUAUUGAUUUUAGGAGCUUAAAGCUCGGUUUUGGCCCCUCUUGACCGAAACUCAUGAGAUAUCUUUGUUUAAUAGCUUAAAGAGAUUCAUUGACUGAGAACGCCCUAAACAAUGAUUUUGAGGUUUGUUGGCCAUUUGUUUAGAUUUUAAUCUUUGCCAAAAAGCUUUUGGCUGGUUGCGUUA